rnacentral:RNase_P_RNA from 1 species
GAAGCCGGCUGGGCAGUCGCUGUGCCGCUUAUGGUAUGGAGGAAAGUCCGGGCUCCACAGGGCGAGGUGCCAGGUAACGCCUGGGCGGCGUGAGCCGACGGAAAGUGCCGCAGAAAACAAACCGCCGAUGGCCCCGCAGCGGGGCUCAGGUAAGGGUGAAACGGUGCGGUAAGAGCGCACCGCACGGGUGGUAACACUCCGUGGCACGGCAAACCCCACCUGGAGCAAGACCAAAUAGGGGAGCGAGCGUGUGGCCCGCAUGGCUCCCGGGUAGGUCGCUUGAGAUGCGCGGUGACGCGUAUCGUAGAGGAAUGGCUGCCCUCGACAGAACCCGGCUUAUAGGCCGACUUCCCGU